UCCCCCGUCGCCCAAAGGGAAGGGCAGCGGCCUCCUAAGCCGCCCGAUGUGGGUUCAAGUCCCGCCGGGGGAACUA
rnacentral:tRNA from 1 species